CCCGCUGAGUUUAAGCAUAUCAAUAUGCGAAGGAAAAGAAACUUACCAAGAUUCCCCUAGUAAUAGCGAGCGAACCGAGAAAAGCCCAGCUUGAGAAUCGGGCGGCAUCGGCGUCCGAAUUGUAGUCUGGAGAAGCGUCCUCAGCGGCGAACCAGGCCCAAGUCCCCUGGAAAGGGGCGCCGGAGAGGGUGAGAGCCCCGUCGUGCCCUGAUCCUGUCGUACCACGAGGCGCUGUCUACGAGUCGAGUUAUUUGGGAACGCAGCCCUAAUCGGAUGGUAAAUUCCAUCCAAGGCUAAAUACGAGUGAGAGACCGAUAGUGAACAAGUACAGCGAGGGAAAGAUGAAAAGGACUUUGAAAAGAGAGUCAAAGAGUGCUUGAAAUUGUUGGGAGGGAAGUGGAUGGGGGAGAACGAUGCGCCCCGGUCGGAUGUGGAAUGGUGAGAGCCGGUCCACCGAUCGACUUGGGGUGUGGACCGACGCGAGUCAUGGCAGUGGCCCAAGCCUGGGACUUUGAUACGCUUGUGGAGACGUCGUCGCCUCGAUCGUGGGAUCCAGCACGCGCCUUCUCGGCGUGCUUCGGCACCUGUGUGCUCAGGGCAUCGGCCUGCGGGCUCCCCAUUCAGCCCGUCUUGAAACACGGACCAAGGAGUCUGACAUGUGUGCGGCUCAACGGGCUAGAAAACCCUUAAGGCGCAAGGAAGUUGAUUGGCGGGAUCCCUCGCGGGUGCACCACCGACUGACCUUAAUCUUCUAAGAAGGGUUCGAGUGAGAGCAUGCCUGUCGGGACCCGAAAGAUGGUGAACUAUGCCUGAGCGGGGCGAAGCCAGAGAAAACUCUAGUAGAGGCCCGCAGCGAUACUAGUGUGCAAAUCAUUUGUCUGACUUGGGUUUAGGGGUGAAAGACUAAUCGAAUCAUCGAGUGUCAUGGGUUGCGAAGGGAAACUUGCAACCAUGACGGACUUGUGUGAUUUAUCGCUUUUGAAGAAGGUCAUUUGGCCCAAUCAGACUAGUCCAGUGCUUGGAGAGAUUGGAAGCCCAUCUCUGGAGCUUAGCAAAUAUGAAAAGUAAUAUUCAAAGAUAUGCUUGGCAAAUAUGGAAGGCGAUCUUCAAAGAUAUGUGAUCCUAAACUUUAAUGUAAUCUUUAGAAGAUACGAUUCUGUAAUCUUUAGAGAUUUAAUAUCUUGAUAGCUUUAGAUCUUAGCCAUUGAUGUAUUUCGAUUUGUACCAUUGAUAUUGGGAAGGCUCAACUAUAAAUAGAGGCCGCUCCCCCUUAUUGUAUUCAUUCAAUAAUUAAUAGAAUUUUGAGAGCAUUCACUCAAACUUUUCUCUCAAAUGUUCUUAUUUUUCUGUGGCUUUUGUUCAUCUUUUGAGAUCGUUCUUACUUCGUUCUUCUACUGUUCUUCGUGCAUUCUUUAGAGGAGUUCUAUUGAAUCCUCAAUUGUUGCGAGAUAGGCUAACUUAGCCGUUUUUAAGCGGAGAAAUGCUUAAGGCCGUACGGAUUGCUUGGGAAAACUCUAAGUC
rnacentral:ncRNA from 1 species